rnacentral:rRNA from 1 species
UACGGAGGGUGCAAGCGUUGUCCGGAAUCACUGGGCGUAAAGGGCGCGUAGGCGGCCCGGUAAGUAGGGGGUGAAAUCCUGCGGCUUAACCGCAGGGCUGCCUUCUAAACUGUCGGGCUCGAGCACGGUAGAGGCAGAUGGAAUUCCCGGUGUAGCGGUAGAAUGCGUAGAGAUCGGGAAGAACAUCAGUGGCGAAGGCGGUCUGCUGGGCCGUUGCUGACGCUGAGGCGCGACAGCGUGGGGGAGCAAACAGG